AUGACCACCCUGUGGCACCCUCUGCAAUCUGGUGAUGCCUUAUGCCAUGCCAAAUCUAAACAGAGUAAAAAAUCUACAGCUGGGCCAGAAAAUUCUCAGUUGAACAUCACAUGCCUUUCAACUAGCAAAGGAAAAAAAAGGAAUAUCUUCAUCACCACACUGGGAUCUGGGAAGAUCUGGCCUCAGCUGGAAAUGUAAAGACUGCCCUUCCAAGUGACCACCAUCAUGGUAACAGGGGAGAAACCGUCUAGGGCCAGUGACCUGUGGUCUGAAUGGCUUCCAGAUACUCCUCUGCUGCUCACAAGUGGCACAAAGAGCUGCCUGAUGUGGGGGCAUUUAUAAAGACGGGCUUAUUUGGGUACAGAUGGGGGACACAAAUAUGAGCAGAGGUGCUGGAGCACCUCUCCUGAGAAGACAGGCUGAGAGAGUUGGGGUUUCUCGGCCUGGGGAAGAGAAGGCUCUGGGGAGACUUUAUAGCACCUUCCAGUACCUGAAGGUGCCUGCAAGAAAGAUGGAGGAGGACUUUUCACAAGGGCUCAUAGUGAUAG
rnacentral:lncRNA from 1 species